rnacentral:rRNA from 1 species
CCUACGGGAGGCUGCAGUCGAGAAUCUUCGGCAAUGGGCGCAAGCCCGACCGAGCGACGUCGCGUGGAGGACGAAGGCCUUCGGGUUGUAAACUCCUGUCGAGGGGGAACAAGGGCCGGUGGAGAGCCGGACUUGAGUGAUCCCUGGAGGAAGCACGGGCUAAGUUCGUGCCAGCAGCCGCGGUAAGACGAACCGUGCGAACGUUAUUCGGAUUCACUGGGCUUAAAGCGCGUGUAGGCGGACAGGCACGUCCGAGGCUGAAAGCCCCCGGCUCA